rnacentral:rRNA from 1 species
CUACGGAAGGUGCGAGCGUUAUCCGGAAUCACUGGGUUUAAAGGGUGCGUAGGCGGCAUGAUAAGUCAGAGGUGAAAGCCCUCAGCUUAACUGAGGAAUUGCCUUUGAUACUGUUGUGCUUGAAAGGGGAUGAGGUGAGCGGAAUGUGGCAUGUAACGGUGAAAUGUGUAGAUAUGCCAUAGAACACCGAUUGCGAAGGCAGCUCACUGGGCCUACAUUGGCGCUGAGGCACGAAAGCGUGGGGAGCGAACAGGAUUAGAAACCCUAGUAGUCC